GAAAAAACCUUCCUCGAUGCUAAUGGAAGCGCAACGUUUGUGUGUCAUGUUUUCUGCCUCUCAGGGAACCCAGUUGGCGUGAGAGCGCCUGGCUCGGCUCGGCCCCUGCUGACCUCCUCAGGUCAGAGCAGACUGGCAGGACGGAGAAUCUUUCUGACAUCUGGACCCACUCGGUUCUGUCUCAGCACACCGUGUAGACAAGCUGCUUCCCGACGUGAACCCGGGCAGAGCCAGAUCCCCUGCAGCCGCGGCGCUGAUCCACCAUGCGUGGACAGGAUCUCAUGCCUCUCAGGAGGACCAGGAGGAUCAGGAGGACCAGCAGGA